UACGUAGGGGGCAAGCGUUGUCCGGAUUUAUUGGGCGUAAAGAGCGUGUAGGCGGCCAAACAGGUCAGCUGUGAAAACUCGAGGCUCAACCUCGAGACGUCGGUUGAAACCGUUUGGCUAGAGUCCGGAAGAGGAGAGUGGAAUUCCCAGUGUAGCGGUGAAAUGCGUAGAUAUUGGGAGGAACACCAGUGGCGAAGGCGGCUCACUGGACCGGAACUGACGCUGAGGCGCGAAAGCGUGGGGAGCAAACAGG
rnacentral:rRNA from 1 species